rnacentral:rRNA from 1 species
CACGCAGGCGGUCUGUCAAGUCGGAUGUGAAAUCCCCGGGCUCAACCUGGGAACUGCAUUCGAAACUGGCAGGCUAGAGUCUUGUAGAGGGGGUAGAAUUCCAGGUGUAGCGGUGAAAUGCGUAGAGAUCUGGAGGAAUACCGGUGGCGAAGGCGGCUUACUGGACGGUAACUGACGUUGAGGCUCGAAAGCGUGGGGAGCAAACA